UUGGAACGCCGUCAGAGCUCAUUAAUAUUCCGCUGUCCCACAAUUCAUAGCAACUUCUCCUUGUCCCCCAGGGAAGAAGCCGUAACCCUGAAAGGUGUGCCUCAUGAGAAGGAGACACACAGAUGAACAUUCUGCAGAAACAUUCGGAGCGUGUGCUGUGCCUGUCAGACUAGAGGAAACGGCGGCGGGGAUCACGCAGAGAGCACAGUGGGGUUCGGCACGGGCCGAGGAAGCGCCGGUUCUCUGAUGAGCUCCUCUGACAGCCCGGCUCACGCCCUCUCCCUGGGAUGCAGAGAGCAGCUGGAUGAUGCCUAGAAUGAGCGCUGAGCGGGCCGGAUGGGCUCAAUGGUUCUCCUCCCAGCUAUCGCCUGCACUCUGACUUUCAGCUUAAGAACCAGGCAUUGGCAGUGAGGAGGGGUGACCUCUGAAACGUGGCACCUUUCUGUCCAGUUUAAGCAUGGACACCGCUGCAGUAAGGAAUCAUGAUCAGGGCUCUGGACUCGUAACCAGAGAAUUGUGAGGAUCAGUUCUCGAACAGGACGGGACUGUGCUUCAAUCAGAUUUCUCCGGUUAAAUUGCCCUGCUACAUCAAUGGGCACAAAUAUCAGCCCCCUGCUGACUUCUGCUCUAUUUCCCUCACUGAUUUCUGAUUGGAGAGGGAGAGAGAGGCCAGGAGGGGGGUUACUGACAAUCUGACUGGCUGAUGGCCUGGACACUACAGCACACUGACACUGCGCUGAGUAAGAGGGAGGAGCUCCAUCACUGAAACACAAGCAGCCCUCAGUGUCACCCAGUGCCCCAGCAUACUGAAACUUUGGGGUGCUCAGCCCCCCCUCCCUGGAGGUCCCUGUGAGGUGUCCCUGCGGUGGUACGACGUGGCUCGGAGGGCAGGAGGGAACUGAAAAAGGACAGUCUUCCUCGACGCUAGCCCCACCAGCGCCCUGAGCUCCAGCCGGCAGCCAUCAGCAUUUCUCUGGACGGAGCGCCGUUUCCCAGCGGGAGCCGUUUCCCAGCGGGAGCCGUUUCCCAGCGGGAGCCGUUUCCCAGCGGGCGCGUGCCGCGAGUCUCCAAUCCACGGCCUCCGCGCACGAUCUGGGCCCGAGCUGCGCUGCGCCCGGUUUCCCGAGCUUGCUUACUGCAGCUCAAAAGACAAUCGCAGCACCGCAGUGAGUGUGUUUUGUCAAAUACGAUGUUUACCAUGGCGAGGCCAGGGAGGAGGAGGAGGAGAGGAGCUGGAGAGACGUCUGUUUCCAAGGAGAUCCGCUCGUGCCUCAAGGCUGGAACGGAGAUGACUCUGAAAGGGGACCUGAUUGACGUAUUCAAAGCCCUUGUCAAGGCAUGGACAAAGACCACCCUGCGCGUUUCUUCCAGAGGAAACCCGGACACAGAAACCAGAGCCCACAGGCGGAAACCUUGUUGCAGUGCAUUCGACACCAGGACCGAGUGGCAUGCCUGUGCCCGAAGAGAGGUGGGAGUGUGGAACAAGCCGCCCAGCCAUGCUGUUGAAGCCGAUUCCCUGGCUUCCUUUCAGAAAGAGGUGGAUGAGAUGCUGAGGACGAGUUGGAUACUCAUCCCUGGACAGGCCUCCUCCUGUCCGCUAGUGUUCUUAUGUUUUUCAUGCGCGGUAGAAAAGUCCUCGGGCUAGACAAGCCUGAACCGGGAGGCCACACGGGACAGUGCAGGGGCAGAGCCUGCGUCAUGAGCCGGGGCAAGACAGUGGGGAGGCUGGAGGGAGGGGGGCGAGAGACGAGCAGAGAGGAAGAUGGGGGGGGUUAAGGCCUGGCUGGUGGACAGGAUGGUAGGCAAGGAAAAGUUCUGGUGCCCGGAAGAUGCAUCUAGGGUGCAGAGAACCCAGACUAGUGAGCAUAUAGUGACUGUCUCUCUCACAGAGACCCUGAUGGCCCGCUUACAGAAUAGGCCUGUCAGGGGUGUUCAUGUAAUCAGCUGUGUCUGUCUCUGAGUCUCCAUUUUGCUCCUUUUAUCUCCCCUUGGCUUCUGCUUGACCUCUCUCUGGCCUUUGGGCAUUUCCACCUUUUUCUUCCUCUCCUUGCCUCUUUUCCCAUCGCCUCAGAAUGCCACUCUUCCUCGCCCCCCUCUCUCUCUCUCUGGUCUCCGAGUCGCCUGAAAAAUCCCUGGUGCAAGCUCGCCCUCUGGUGGCCAUGGGGGCACAGUACAUCUGCGGCGGUGUCUUUGUGUGUGCUGAAGGUCGGCCUCAAACGCUGUAGAUGUGGAAAUCGAUGCUCGUCUCUCCUCAUGCAGCUGCCGAUGGCUGCGACAGGCCGGGAUGGCAAACCAGGUCAUUCUUACGACUCUCCUGCCACAGGGCUGCAGACUUCUGUUCAAGUCAAUCAGCCCUGAUGAGUGAACCUCCCAGUCCUGGCCUGGUCUAGAGUCCAGGGGACAGCCCGGCCUCAUUAUUGACCAUGAUUUAUGGCACAAUUAUGCCACAAUAGAACCUAGAACUGCAAGAGCCUGAUUUAUCACGCCAGUCAGUUUAGAAACUUCAGAGAGCACCGUAAAACACACAGCCAUGGCAUCGUUUCCACAAUCCCCUCGUGGUCACCAGGACUUCAGGCUGUGUAAUGCACAUAAACAAGAAAUAAUAACUUACUGACAAAUUAGAACAUGUAAAAUAAAUAAGAGUGCAAGCCAUUUGUCUGGAGUUUAAAGUAAAGGGCUGUUGACACAAGAUUCCUUAAUGAAGCCUGGUUACCAGACCAGAGGUGUUAAGGGUGGUUUCGUCCCUGACCAGCUGUGUGUUAAGUGUGGUUUCGUCCCCGACCAGCUCUAUGUUAAGUGUUGUUUCAUCACCGACCAGCUGUGUGUUAAAGGUGGUUUCGUCACAGACUAGCCGUGUGUUAAGUGUGGUUUUGUCACCAACCAGCUGUGUUAAGUGUGGUUUUGUCACCGAUCAGCUUUGUUAAGUGUGGUUUCGUCACCGACUAGCUGUGUGUUAAAUGUGGUUUUGUCACCGACUACCAGUGUGUUAAGUGUGGUUUCGUCACAGAGCAGAGUUGUGUUCAGAAUGGUUUUGUGACUGACCAGCUGUGUGUUAAGAGUCCUUACUAACUUACUGAAUGAGUCUUGUCUCUGCUGAGGUAAUAUCAUAGCCCCUAGUACAGCCCACUAUUGUUACAGGACUAUUCUCUUCUCUUACUGUAACCUCCACUUUAACAGAACCCCUCUACUCUAUCCCCUAUUCCAGAAGGCCUGUCCUGAAUUUUUGCCAUAUUCUUACUGUCACACAACAUUCUUGUUGUCCUCGAGACCUGACCCUUCACGCAAGAAAAGGAAUGCACUGAACUGCAGCUGAAUGAACUGCAAUGAAUAUAGUCGCUGUGUUUUAGAAAAGAUACUUCUGCUCUGGAAACUGGCAAUCAGAUACAUUCUGGGGCUCAAGGGAAUGUCCUGACAGGCUGAAGGAACUGAGCCUUGUUUUCUUACACAGAGAACCUGAUACACAGAGACACUGACAGAAUCAGCCCUGCGUGAACUGUGCCACAUGAACCAGAAGACAGCACUGGAAACUCUGGGGAAGAGCACUGAAGUCUGAGAACAAGAGGCACUUUUUUUUGCGCAGACACUGGUGGGAAUGUGGGACAAACUGCCCAGCCUUCUGGCUUUUCUGGACACCCCACUCACAGCGCUGGACAGGU